rnacentral:tRNA from 1 species
GGGAGUGUGCCCGAGUGGUUAAAGGGGACGGGCUGUAAACCCGUUAGCUAUGCUUACCUAGGUUCGAAUCCUAGCGCUCCCACCA